AACCCAUGAUGAUGACACCUUCUAAAUAAAUUCUUAAAUCUCUCCAAUGCAUCAUAUAAUGUCACCAAAUUGAUUUGAGCAAAAGAAGAGAUAUCAUUCCUCAACUU
rfam:Gossypium raimondii chromosome 1, whole genome shotgun sequence.